AUCAAAAUAUAACCCAGAACAUAAAAGGAAAAGAAAAGAAGUUGUGCGCGAAAAGCAGUUGUGCGCUUCCAAGACUCCGGACACGACUCUGGACUUCGUUCUCGACUUCUCUUCCGUCUCGUUCGAUUAAUCAUUGCAGGUUCUCAGAGGCAAAUAUUUCUGUGGGAUUUUCUGCUCUGCUGCAUCUUGACAUCAGUCCUGUAGCCAGACUACUGUCAGGGCCAGUUGGAUAUGCGGCAAAGAGGACUAAGUGGUCUGUUGAUGACCCCAUCAAAUCUUUUACUGAUUCCGAAUCAGUUAACCCGUCAAAUUUAUCGAAUGAGCGUACUGGGCGUAGUUAUGAUUGGGUGAGAGCACGUUCAAAACCAAAGGAGGAUGGAGGUUAUUACAUUCCAAAUGACAAGACAAAGGAGGUGUUUGAGAAAAUGGAGGAGUUGCAGAGGCAAGUAUCAGAUGGGUCAUGGACUCCAAAAGGCCACGAUGACGAUGUCUUUUAUAUUCUUAAGGGUCUUGGUUCAAGAAACUAUACAAGAAAGGAAAUCAAUGAGGUUCGAGAAUUGUGGGCAAAAUUUUUCUCUUUAGAAUGUCUGUAAUAAGGUAAUCUUGUCAUCGGCCUUGUCGUUUGAAGUCCUAACAGUUCAAGCAUUUAAGUUCUUGCCUGCUGCAGUACUGUGAUAUACAAUCACUGGUCCUUGAAGAUCUUGAACUUCUUGCUAGAGACAGUGUGUUUGGAUUCAUUUGUAACAAUCUGAUAUCAUGAAGUUUUUUUUGUGGCAUUUAAUGUGUAAUGUUUCUUUCAAGUGUAAACUUGGACAUAAUUAAUUCUUGAUAUAAUUGUUUAAGUUGUUUUGGGAUUUAA